GACGAACGCUGGCGGCGUGCUUAACACAUGCAAGUCGAACGGAAAGGCCUGGUUUUGUUGGGUGCUUGAGUGGCGAACGGGUGAGUAACACGUGAGUCACCUGCCCUUUACCUUUGGAUAACUUCAGGAAACUGGGGCUAAUACCGGAUAGGAGCUCCUGCUGCAUGGUGGGGGCUGGAAAGUUUGGGCGGUUGGGGAUGGACUCGCGGGUUAUCCGCCUGUUGGUGUGGUUGUGGGUUACCAAGGCUUCGACGGGUAGGCGGCCUGAGAGGGUGACCGGGAAAAUGGGGAAUGAGAUACGGCCGGGAGUCCUGCGGGAGGCAGCAGUGGGGAAUAUUGCACAAUGGGGCGGAGCAUGAUGCAGCAACGCCGCGUGCGGGAUGACGGCCUUCGGGUUGUAAACCGCUUUCGCCUGUGACGAAGCGUGAGUGACGGUAAUGGAUAAAGAAGCACCGGCUAACUACGUG
rnacentral:rRNA from 1 species